AAAUCACGAUGUCUUUGCCUCAAUCGCCGCCUCAAUCUCGAUUGCCAUUGGGGUUACAUGUAUUAAUAUCAGUCCUUGAGUUUACUUGAUAUAAGUUCUCGAUUUGAAUUGAUAUAAGUUCCCGAUUUUAUUUGAAUCGUCGAUCAGUUCUCUGUUCUCGAUUUUAUUUGAAUCGUCGAUCAGUUCUCGAUUUGAAUUGAUAUAAGUUCCUUGUCUUCUUGAUUUAAAUCGUCGAAACUUGUCUUCUUGAUUUGUGGCAGACGUGGUCCCCUGGUUUAUCUGUUCUCGGAACUCAGUGGCAUAGAGCCUCAACACUCAGAUUCUUGGAACUCGGAAGUCAGUGGCACAGCCGCACAGGUUAGAUAUCUGAUUUUUUUUUCCUGAAUCAAUUUGUUGUUUAGCAGUUUAUUCUUCUUUCAUAAUUUGCUAUUUUUCUGAAUAAAGUUGUUAUUUAGGGAAUUAGGGCUUAUUAUCCAUCUCUUAAAUAGAUUUAUAUUUCACUACUAGAAAACUUGGCAAUUGUCACCAACAUUUGCUACUGAAAAAAUCGGUGACAAAUUUAGCCACCUGUUUCCCACAGAUAUGUAAAUUAAGCGUACUCAGCAUCAAAAUCUAGUUCCACUGAGAGCUUAUUAUUACAACAAAGAAGAGAAGCUGCUUGUCUACGAUUAUAUGCCAAUGGGAAGUCUUUCUGCACUUCUUCAUGUUUUAUUAACAAAUACGUUAUGGAAACAUGCAUUACAAUGGAUUUCAACAAUUGAAAUUUUGUGAAAAUGUAAAAGAUCCAUAGAAGCUUGUUGUUUCUUAAACCGAACAUGUCACUUCUUGCAAAAUAACCAUUCCACAUAGUUAAUUUAUUAGACUGUCGAACUGCAUAUAACUGAUUUAAAAAUCCAUUUCCCUCUUUGACAUUUGGAGCCUAGGUGAGUUAAAGAGAUUUGCUUUUUUGUAUUUAGAGCAUUCACAUCCAAUCCAUCAAAUUAUACAUACGUUCCACUAAAAAACAACUCCUAUAUCAAUAUACUAGUGCUAAUACCCGCGAAUUUCGCGGUGUUGAGAAAUGAUAUGUUUUCUAUUGUUUGAAAAAAAUUACGUUUAUACUUAGUCUUGAAACAUAAAGAGUAGAUUACAAAUUGGCCCUAUGAUGCUGCUAAAAUAGUUAGGUUAGUUGAUUUUUAGCUUAUUGGAUGUGUGCUCCGCAAAUGACUUUUUAUAAUGAUAUGCAUCUUAGUUCUAUCACUUAUAUAGCAAGAAAUCCAAUCGGAACCCUUGAUCACUAAAUCUUUAGUUCUAUACAAAUCACCACGCUUCAUGGCCCCUUUGAGAAAUGUGUCAUGUAUACCAUAAAGGUUCGUAAAUAUGUGGUAUGUGGUCUUCAUCUUUCAAACCACCAAAAUAAGUUUUCUUUAAGAGGGGGAAGUGGUGGAGGUUGUGCAGUAUUAGCCUCAACACAGUAGCCCAUUGUAGGGAAAAGAAUCCUCUUCAUGGGUACCUAACACAAAGUAGCAGGGUAAAGUUAAUAAAUUAGGUUAAGGGUAAAGCAAAUGAAUUCAGUUAAACAUAUUAUGAUAUCGCUUCAC
rnacentral:lncRNA from 1 species